GACGUAGGGCGCGAGCGUUGUCCGGAUUUAUUGGGCGUAAAGAGCUCGUAGGCGGCUUGUUGCGUCAGCUGUGAAAACCCGCAGCUCAACUGUGGGCUUGCAGCUGAUACGGGCAGGCUAGAGUUCGGUAGGGGAGACUGGAAUUCCUGGUGUAGCGGUGAAAUGCGCAGAUAUCAGGAGGAACACCGGUGGCGAAGGCGGGUCUCUGGGCCGAUACUGACGCUGAGGAGCGAAAGCGUGGGGGAGCGAACAGG
rnacentral:rRNA from 1 species